UACGAAGCAGGGCCACGUCUUUGGAGUGUCGGACGGUGCUACCAGAAUUCAAAAUCCUUUGUCACGUUUACAUCAACCGUGUCAUCGUAGUCAAUCAUGUCUGUGGAGCCUGAUAAAACUUCUGUGGACAUGUAACAGACCAAUACGUUUUACGUCUACAUAGUUCCUCGUGCGGGCAUUAAAAUGUGAAGAACUCUUCAUAUGCAAAACUAUGUGAAAAUUAUUGUAUUAUAUUGUUUCAACAAGCAGACGGUGUGAAGUAAACGUUUUAACUUUA